AGCUGGGAACAGAAGCUCUCCCAGAAGGCUCUUUAGACUUCUUUCCUCCUGGUUUGUUGGUGGGAUUCCGUAAGAGAAUAUAUGGAGAGCUCUGGGCUCAGCACGUGGCCCUCCUGUCCAGGGACAUCCCUUGGCCCUAAAGAGGAAGACUCCAGUCUCCAGUUCACACGUCCAGGACUGAUCUUACAUCUCUCUCUAGCUGCCUACAGGACAUUUCUGUGACUGUGUUUCCAAGCUUGCAAACUCCCUGAGAACAAGAAUCAACCAUUUAUUUGUGUGCCC
rnacentral:lncRNA from 1 species